UUUCUGAUCGAAAUGUUAGAAAGAACGUAAAAGUGACUACUUCAUCAGAGCAGCAAGUUUUACAGAAAGAUAGACAGUCAGUGUGUUCCAGGCGUCGUAUUGUCUCAUCAUCUGACGAGGAUUCGAUUUGUGAUGAGGCAGAAGACUAUACAUCCAGUAUUUUUAUACAAACAGAAAAGGAUAUUGGCUUACAGUCGCAAUUACAAUUGCUUAAUGAUAAUAUAAAUG